rnacentral:rRNA from 1 species
GACGAACGCUGGCGGCGCGCCUAACACAUGCAAGUCGAGCGAUGAACAUUGAAUGAUCCCUUCGGGGUGAUUUCGAUCGGAUUAGCGGCGAACGGGUGAGUAACGCGUGAGGAACCUGCCUCUUACAACGGGCUAGCAUCGGGAAACCGGGAUUAAUACCGUAUAAGACUCCGACAUCUCCUGAUGAUGAAGUCAAAGCGUUAGCGGUAAGAGAUGGCCUCGCGUCUGCUUAGCUUGUUGGCGGGGUAACGGCCCACCAAGGCGAGGCUCAGUACCCGGCCUGAGAGGGUGACCCGUCACAUUGGAACUGAGACACGGUCCAAACUCCUACGGGAGGCGUCCGUGGUGAAUCUUGCACAAUGGGGGCAACCCUGAUGCAGCGACGCCGCGUGAGCGAUGAAGGUGUUCGAAUCGUAAAGCACUGUCCUAUGGGAAGAUAAUGACGGUACCAUGGGAGGAAGCCCCGGCUAACUACGUGCCAGCCGCCGCCGUAA